rnacentral:rRNA from 12 species
AAUGGCUGCACAGGAGUGCAAGUGCCUAAUAGCGUCUGCUUUUGGAAGCUAAGCGGGGCCAUGCCUGGUUAGGACUUGGAUGGGAGAUCAACUUGAAAGACCAGGGGCAGUUAUCC